CGUUCUGCUCCUCUCGUGCUGGCGAUCAUGGUCCUAACAAGGUAGCCAGAGCCAGGAAGGACGAAGAAGAGGGUCCCUCGAUCUACGACAACGAAGGCAACGGGGAGCAGAGGCAGUCUCUCAAGGGGGGGAAGCCGAGCAAGGCAAAGAAAGAGGAGCAGUUCAACCUAUACAGCAAGGCAAAGGCCGGGGGAGAGGAGCUGGGCAUUGAUGACUACGAGGCCAUGGAGAGAAUGGAAGACUAUGAGAAUUAGC